CCUACGGGAGGCAGCAGUGGGGAAUAUUGCACAAUGGGCGAAAGCCUGAUGCAGCAACGCCGCGUGAAGGAAGACGGUCCUCGGAUUGGUAAACUCCGUUCUUAGUGAACAAAAAUGACGGUAACUAAGGAGCAAGCUACGGCUAACUACGUGCCAGCAGCCGCGGUAAUACGUAGGUAGCAAGCGUUGUCCGGAAUUAUUGGGUUUAAAGGGAGCGUAGGUGGGGUGUUAAGUCAGCUGUGAAAGUUUCGGGCUGAACCUUGAAAUUGCAAUUGAUACUGGCUGUCUUGAGUAGAGUAGAGGUUGGCGGAAUUCCGGGUGUAGCGGUGAAAUGCGUAGAUAUUACGAAGAACUCCGAUGGCGAAGGCAGGCAACUGGGCUUCAACUGACGCUGAGGCUCGAAAGUGUGGGUAUCAAACAGGAUUAGAUACCCCAGUAGUC
rnacentral:rRNA from 1 species